rnacentral:rRNA from 1 species
UGAAGGUGGCCUGUGAGGGUUGCUGGAGGUAUCAGAAGUGCGAAUGCUGACAUAAGUAACGAUAAAGCGGGUGAAAAGCCCGCUCGCCGGAAGACCAAGGGUUCCUGUCCAACGUUAAUCGGGGCAGGGUGAGUCGACCCCUAAGGCGAGGCCGAAAGGCGUAGUCGAUGGGAAACGGGUUAAUAUUCCCGUACUUGGUGUUACUGCGAAGGGGGGACGGAGAAGGCUAUGUUGGCCGGGCGACGGUUGUCCCGGUUUAAGCGUGUAGGUGUGUGUUCCAGGUAAAUCCGGUUCACUUUAACACUGAGGCGUGACGACGAGGCACUACGGUGCUGAAGUAACAAAUGCCCUGCUUCCAGGAAAAGCCUCUAAGCAUCAGGUAACAUCAAAUCGUACCCCAAACCGACACAGGUGGUCAGGUAGAGAAUACCAAGGCGCUUGAGAGAACUCGGGUGAAGGAACUAGGCAAAAUGGUGCCGUAACUUCGGGAGAAGGCACGCUGAUAUGUAGGUGAAGUGAUUUACUCACGGAGCUGAAAUCAGUCGAAGAUACCAGCUGGCUGCAACUGUUUAUUAAAAACACAGCACUGUGCAAACACGAAAGUGGACGUAUACGGUGUGACGCCUGCCCGGUGCCGGAAGGUUAAUUGAUGGGGUCAGCGCAAGCGAAGCUCCUGAUCGAAGCCCCGGUAAACGGCGGCCGUAACUAUAACGGUCCUAAGGUAGCGAAAUUCCUUGUCGGGUAAGUUCCGACCUGCACGAAUGGCGUAAUGAUGGCCAGGCUGUCUCCACCCGAGACUCAGUGAAAUUGAACUCGCUGUGAAGAUGCAGUGUACCCGCGGCAAGACGGAAAGACCCCGUGAACCUUUACUAUAGCUUGACACUGAACAUUGAGCCUUGAUGUGUAGGAUAGGUGGGAGGCUUUGAAGCGUGGACGCCAGUCUGCGUGGAGCCAACCUUGAAAUACCACCCUUUAAUGUUUGAUGUUCUAACGUGGACCCGUUACCCGGGUUGCGGACAGUGUCUGGUGGGUAGUUUGACUGGGGCGGUCUCCUCCUAAAGAGUAACGGAGGAGCACGAAGGUUGGCUAAUCCUGGUCGGACAUCAGGAGGUUAGUGCAAUGGCAUAAGCCAGCUUGACUGCGAGCGUGACGGCGCGAGCAGGUGCGAAAGCAGGUCAUAGUGAUCCGGUGGUUCUGAAUGGAAGGGCCAUCGCUCAACGGAUAAAAGGUACUCCGGGGAUAACAGGCUGAUACCGCCCAAGAGUUCAUAUCGACGGCGGUGUUUGGCACCUCGAUGUCGGCUCAUCACAUCCUGGGGCUGAAGUAGGUCCCAAGGGUAUGGCUGUUCGCCAUUUAAAGUGGUACGCGAGCUGGGUUUAGAACGUCGUGAGACAGUUCGGUCCCUAUCUGCCGUGGGCGCUGGAGAACUGAGGGGGGCUGCUCCUAGUACGAGAGGACCGGAGUGGACGCAUCACUGGUGUUCGGGUUGUCAUGCCAAUGGCACUGCCCGGUAGCUAAAUGCGGAAGAGAUAAGUGCUGAAAGCAUCUAAGCACGAAACUUGCCCCGAGAUGAGUUCUCCCUGAGACUUAGAGUCUCCUGAAGGAACGUUGAAGACGACGACGUUGAUAGGCCGGGUGUGUAAGCGCAGCGAUGCGUUGAGCUAACCGGUACUAAUGAACCGUGAGGCUUAACCUUACAACGCCGAAG